GAUGAACGCUGGCGGCGUGCCUAAUACAUGCAAGUCGAGCGAACAGACGAGGAGCUUGCUCCUCUGACGUUAGCGGCGGACGGGUGAGUAACACGUGGAUAACCUACCUAUAAGACUGGGAUAACUUCGGGAAACCGGAGCUAAUACCGGAUAAUAUAUUGAACCGCAUGGUUCAAUAGUGAAAGACGGUUUUGCUGUCACGUAUAGAUGGAUCCGCGCCGCAUUAGCUAGUUGGUAAGGUAACGGCUUACCACGGCGACGAUGCGUAGCCGACCUGAGAGGGGGAUCGGCGACCCUGGAGGUUGGACAGGGACAAGGGUACUACGAGAGGGAGCAGUAGGGAAUCGUCGGCAACAGGCGAAAACAUGACGGAGCAACGCCGAGUGAGAGGUAGAGGUCUUCGGUUCGUAAAACUGUGUUAUUGGUGAAAAACAAAUGUGUAAGUAACCAUGCACGUCGUGACGGUACCUGAUCAGAAAGCCACGGCUAACUACGUG
rnacentral:rRNA from 1 species